rnacentral:rRNA from 1 species
UUUAUGGGUAGGAUAGAAUGCUAGUCAGCGCUCGCCAGCCAAAGGUGAGUGCGGCGCACAGCUCAGUAACACGUGGCUAACCUGCCCUUGGGACGGAGACACCCCCGGGAAACUGGGGCUAAUCCCCGAUAGGUGAAGAACUCUGGAAUGAGUCUCCACCUAAAAGAAACUUACGCUAUGCUCGUAGGCUUCGCCCAAGGAUGGGGCCGCGACCGAUCAGGUUGUUGGUGAGGUAACGGCCCACCAAGCCUUUUACCGGUGCGGGCCGUGAGAGCGGGAGCCCGGAGAUGGGCACUGAGACAAGGGCCCAGGCCCUACGGGGCGCAGCAGUCGCGAAAACUCCGCAAUGCGCGAAAGCGUGACGGGGCUACCCCGAGUGCCGUCCGCUGAGGAUGGCUUUUCCCCGGUGUAAUGAGCCGGGGGAAUAAGGAGAGGGCAAGUCUGGUGUCAACCGCCGCGGUAAUACCAGCUCUCCGAGUGGUAGGGAUGAUUAUUGGGCUUAAAGCGUCCGUAGCCGGCUUAGCAAGUCUCCUGUUAAAUUCAGCGACCUAAUCGUUGAGCCGCGGGAGACACUACUAGGCUAGGAGGCGGGAGAGGCCGACGGUAUUCUCGGGGUAGGGGUGAAAUCCUAUAAUCCCGGGAGGACCACCAGUGGCGAAGGCUGUCGGCUAGCACGCGCUCGACGGUGAGGGACGAAAGCUGGGGAAUC